AUUGAACGCUGGCGGCAUGCCUUACACAUGCAAGUCGAACGAGGGUAGCAAUACCUUAGUGGCGAACGGGUGAGUAAUAUAUCGGAACGUACCCUAGAGUGGGGGACAACCAGUCGAAAGACUGGCUAAUACCGCAUACGAUCUCUGGAUGAAAGUGGGGGACCGCAAGGCCUCACGCUCCUGGAGCGGCCGAUAUCUGAUUAGCUAGUUGGUAGGGUAAAAGCCUACCAAGGCAUCGAUCAGUAGCUGGUCUGAGAGGACGAUCAGCCACACUGGGACUGAGACACGGCCCCGACUCCUACGGGAGGCAGCAGUGGGGAAUUUUGGACAAUGGGGGAAACCCUGAUCCAGCAAUGCCGCGUGAGUGAAGAAGGCCUUCGGGUUGUAAAGCUCUUGUGUCAGGGAAGAAAAGGCUAUGGCUAAUAUCCAUGGCUGAUGACGGUACCUGAAGAAUAAGCACCGGCUAACUACGUGCCAGCAGCCGCCGUAA
rnacentral:rRNA from 1 species